rnacentral:rRNA from 1 species
GACAGAGGCCCCGAGCGUUAGGCGGAAUCACUGGGCUUAAAGCGUGUGUAGGCGGAUCGUUAAGUGUCUUGUGGAAUCCCACGGCUCACCCGUGGAACCGCUGGGCAUACUGGCGAUCUCGGGCCAUUCAGGGGCGACUGGAACAAGCGGUGGAGCGGUGAAAUGCGUAGAUAUCGCUUGGAACGCCGAAGGUGAAAACAGGUCGCUGGGGAUGCGCCGACGCUGAGACACGAAAGCCAGGGGAGCAAACGGG